GAGCAGAUGAUGAAAGAUAUUAUUUUUAGCUGAUUAUGAUCCGUGAAGUUAUAAAUAUCGAGCUUUUUAAAACUGAUGCUCA